GCGUGUUGAGGGCAGAAAAUUCGGGGAGGUUGUUUUAGAUGUGAGGGUGAGAAAAAAAGAAGAGUGGAUGUGUUCGACCUUUGCCAUGACAGGUGCGCUUGCAUGGCAGGUCACAGAAACCAAAUAAAAGCACUUCUUUUUUGGUGUUUGAAGGGGGAGAUGGCACGGGGCUUUUGUCUCUUUUGCCCGGCUCUCCCCCUUCCUGCGUCUCGUGUCCCGGUUUCCUCUUUUUCCUUAUUCUCGUUUCGCUCGUUGUGCACAUCCCUAUCGUCCGCCUGUGCAUAGUGAUCCUAUGCAAAUUGCACCGAGUGCGGAAACAUCAGUAGAAUGCAGGGAAACGAAAGCCGUGAUGCUAGUUAAACUAGUAAUUCUCGUUGGUUGAAGUGGCCUUGGUGCACCUUCACGUUCAAUGGCACGAUGAUAGCCACCUCGAUGCAAGGAAAGUCCCGGAUUAUAAUCAAAUUCCACCAUAAGGUACAUCUUAAAUUUUGCGCCUUUCAUUGUGCUCAUACUGCCUAUGGCGGCACUAUGCGAAGUUUAAUGGCGUGCAAAUUAUCUGCUUGACUGAUGACUUGAUGGAUUCCAAAAGAACUUCACUCUCACUUGCGGCCGUUUUAUCCUUUGUAAGCCUGAUUAAUGAUGGUAAUAUGGGUUCUCAAAUAAUUGAUGACAGAUCAAGAUUUCAUGAGCUCGUUAUUCUUUUGAAAUUUCUUGAAAAUUGCUUCAGCUCCGUUUGCAUUUGUGGUGACCCUGGUAAACAUCACACGAUAUCCUUACUAAUGCUCAAGAAGAUACACUAACAACGAUUCUUGCACCUUAAAGUGGACGCUUCCCAAGAAAUUGGAAGUUUGUCUUAAUCAGAUACAUAGGUUAUAUAUGGAAAUUGACUACUUAUACAUUGAAGCAGUUCCUACGCAUUGUUUGCUUGUGGAUGAGAGUUCUCUUUUAUUUUUAUUUUUUAUUUUGGCACUAUCCUGCGUUGCCUUUUAUUGUUCUUGUUCGGAAAUGAUAGUACAUAAAGACGAUUCCUGAUAUGGAAUGUCAAAGCAUUCUGAAGAUGGUGUAAGGUGAAAGAUAGUGUAUUUGAGAUGUAUGUUGUAGAGAUUUGUGUUGUUUGAGCGAGGUUUGCUGCUCUGCUGAGCGGUAUCAGAUUUUUCAAGUCAUUGGAUCAAAUGAAAUAGCCGAUGCCAGAUCAACCUGAUUGUGCGGACUGAAGCGGUGUGGAGCGCUGGGAUGCCAAAUCAACUGGGAUGGCUUAAAUUUGUCUGAUGGUAAGGUGCAACGUUGUCGCAUUACUCGUUCUGUUCACUUCUGAUGUCUGUUCUUUUUUUGUGUGAUUAUUGUAAAAUGUUUAGUAUGGCGUGUUAAAUUACAUGUUUAGUUCCGAACCCAAAAUAUUACGUGGUUAGUUAUGCAGUGUAGUCUGGUUACUGUUCAUUCCAUCUGUUUUGUGUUGUGUCUCGUGCUUGCUUUGUCUUAAUGUUGCACGAGGGGACUAGAAGUGCGAGUUUUUUUUUUUUUUUUUUUUUGUGGGUAAAGUAAAAGUGCGAGUUUUGUGUUAAUAGUUUUGUGGAUAAUUAAGCUGGACUGAUCCUUAUCAUUAUCUAGGGGAUUUUUGUAUUCUGUGGCUUAUAAAUGAUAUGAUCUGUUUUCCAAAAGAAGCAAUUACACCAAGAUGCAUAAUUGGUCACUGCCUGAGAUGCUUAGGGUGAUUUGAACCAUAUGAAGAAGAUGAAUUCCUGAAACUAAAUUGAAGGUUUGGAUAGAUUGACAGCUAGUUUAACUUCUUCUCUAAUCUGUUGAAAAUAUGAAGAACAGAAUCGCUGCCUUGACUUGUUGGAAAUAUUAGCAAAGACAUCUCAUUUCACAGAAUGAAAAUUCCUACAGUUGUUAGUAGUGCUGUUACGUAAUGUGAAAAUUUGGUUGUCUAUUCGCAGGGUUUGAUUCUUUUGACUGGUUUACAGAGCUGUGGAAGUCAUUGAUGUUUCACGUACGCUGAGCCUCUGACCUAUCCAUGAAGAGACUCAAUUGAAGUUGAUCGCUCCAUGGCUUUAUUGGAAGAAUUCCUCCAGCUGCGUGGAUGGUCCUUCAUAGCUGUCUCACGAAAACCAAGACGGUGAUAAUCUGCCUAAAUUGUCCAUUCUCUUUGGCUGCAUGAGUAGUGCCAGUUCAUAUAUUUGAGUUCAAUAAUUGAACUAAGUGAAGCACCUGCACGACGGAGCGUGCGAGUGAUGCAUUCUCCACUUGUGGUAGCAUCUGUUUUUGACGCCUGAUAAUCUUCCUUGCUUCAGUUGCGUUAAAGCUGAAUUCGAGGACCAAAAUAUAAAAAUCGAAGUAGUCCAGAUCUUGGGGAAUUUCCCGCAGGAUUAGUAAUGGAGUAUGAAUUGCGGGUCAGUGUCCCCCUGAAUGUCUACUGUGUGCGCUUUGCUGAAGUUGGCAUUGUAUGUCCUUUUAUGACAAGAUGCUUAGUCGUAAUCCUCUCCGAUUAUUUUAUGGUGUCGCUGAAGUUGCUCGAGGUAAAAAAGGUUCUGCUCAGAGUGGUUGGGUUGUAUUGUUCUUCAAAACUAAAGAAAAAUCACGCACAUUUUUGUUUUUUCAAGUUUUUUUUUGGAAAAAUUGGUAAUUUUUGUUACUUUGCUUUAAUGAUGAAGUAUAGUAUCUUUCUGGUGAUAUAUACAUCUAUCUGAACUCUACGAAUUUGUCCGUUGGAAAUUUUGGGACAUACCCAUAUAAAUCUCAAAUUUUUAAGCUUGUUCUUUUUUCAGUGACUAUGUUCCUCGUUUUUUCUUUUAAUAUAUAUAAGAUACCCUGGAAGGGGUUGCCUUUUCUUUGUGAAUUGAAUAUUUUUAGGGCGGCGUCUAGUACCUGUUUUCCGUGGGGUUUUCUUGGCAAUGAAUUGCGGAACAAUUCUUUUUUUUUUUUGGUCGGUUAAAUGCGGAACAGUUCGGAAGUGAGAUAAAUGUGAUUUUUGACUGUUUGACUGCCCGACCUGGCACCCAGCACCCGCGCGAGACGCAUCGGUUCUCUCCAAAUGGGGCCUUGAGAAAUAUGAAGAGAAAAGAGUGACAUUUUUACUAAAUCGUGCAGGGUUCCCAGAAAUAGGUACGGUAAGAAGAUGGAGCUACAGGAUAAGUAAUUUGUUGCGCUUGAUUAUCAAAUCAGUGAAAAAAGCUAGAUUUCUGUACUACUUGAAAUGUCGUUGGUUGUCACUUGAUUAAUUAUUACUAUGUUAUAUUUUCGAUAUUACAUACUAUUUUUUGGAUUAAAAGUGUAACUAAUAAUAUAUUUUUCGGGUCAAAUUAGAUCUUACGUUCUUGGGUCGAAGUCGAAUUAAAUCUUAACCUGGGCCUUUUGUGACGAGAAUUUCUUUUUUUUAUUUUUUUAUUUUGUAACCAUACCCCCCUUAUUUUUAAUAUUUAGAAUAUAUGACUAAUUUUUUUCCCGUUUUAUUAAAAUUUCCAAAUUUGAGCCAUGUGCACGCCGUCUAUGAUCCUAGAGCUUUUAUAAUGGCGUCGUCAAUGAGUAGAAUUUAGGCGUUUCUGUGAUGGGCGGUGGAUAAUUUUGUCACGUAACGAAGAAAAAGUCUGGGUUGCUACUGUUACAGGGAAAAAUUUAAGGAAUUUAGAUGGGAGAGACUGGGUAUUUUUUUUGCACGGGGAUUAAUUAGAGAUAGGAAGAAAAUUGGGUUUUUGCGUUUUGCAUCGGUCGGUUUUUAGAUGGUAUUUUUCCAUAGAUGAAUAUAUCGUACGAUAUAAAUAAUUAAACGUGGGUAAGAAAUCAUGUGAAAUCGGGUGUUCUGUGAGCGUGACCUUCUAUGGAUCCAAAUGCUCCGACUGGCGGAGCUCCCAAACCCUCUUUAACUGAAGAGGGGGUAUGGGUUUGUGGUGGUUCGACUCCACCUGGAUUCGCCAUUUUGUUUUUCUGUUCUACUGGGACUUGUUAUCUAACGUUACAUUGAGCUUCGAUUAUUUUAUUGAAAAUUUAUGAUAAAAGAAAUUAUGUUAGAGAAAUUAUUUUCAAGAAAAAAGUUAAUUUCAAGGGAAAAGAUUUGUUCAAUGAUAAAUUUACCUUGAAUUUUUUUAUUAUAAUGAAAAAUUUCGAAUUUUUUUUUGUAAUAUAAAAAAUGUCAAACUUUUUAUUUACAUUAAAUUUUUUAUGGUGAUAAAAAAAUGCUGAGCUUGUAGGGUAUUUUAGUUUUUUACUUUUUUCUCUUUAAUGAUAAGACGCAAAUCGUAAAUGUGUCACAAUUAACUAAGUUUUAGGCUUUUGAAGUAAAUUUGUUAAUUGGGGUUUUUGGUGGUCUUUUUCCUAAUUUUUAUUUGUUUGAUGGUUUGAAGAAACAAUUCCCCUUGUGUCUCGGGAAGUAAUUUUCUUUCAGUUUAGGCUUAUGGUUCUUCAUUAAUGAAAAACACUUCUGGUAAAUUGAUUAGUUUAUUGUUGAAAACAUUGGUCGAAAAUUUAUUUUUUGAAAAUUGAAUAAUUUAUUAAAUAUUUUUAAAAACGUUGGCUCGUGACUCUUACAAAAAAUAGAUAGAUAGUUUUUUUUGAAAAUAUUUAGAUAUUAGCUGUUUCGAGCAUUUUUCAUGAAAUAAAUUGGGUGAGUUCAUUUACUGCUUUGUUUGGUUGAAUAAAUUUGCUCGGAGGCAUGGGAUGCGGAAGACUGAAUGCUCCGCUUUAAUUAUGGUGAAUUCAGAUCGGAAGAACAAAAUUGACAAAUGCUGAUUUUGGACCUUCUGCUAAAAAUGUCGCACAUUCGAACGGUCAAGUACGUUAAAAAUAGUGAUGAUUAUGGCGUAGCAGAACUAAUCGCGUCUAAUAUAGUUAGGAAAUCUCGCAGCCCUCUAGUUGGCAAUCGUAUCAAAUAAAAAAAAAAAAAUCCUUGACUUUUAUAAACAUGUGUCAAUUACUAUUUCUCAAUUUUAUCCUUUCGAAAUUCCUGCGAUCAUUUUUAACGAGAAAAGGAUUAUGUAGCCAGGGCAAUUUUGUAAACCUAUAAUUAAUUCAUGCUAAGCGUUUCCAUUGUUAAGAGAAAUAAUUCAUCCUCUUUUUAGGUCGCAGAUAUUCCUUUUCCUUUUAAUUUGCUGCAAAUUGGCAUUCGCAAUUUUAAUCCACUAAAGGUUUGAGCAUCAUAUUCUCAACUCUUUUUUUUGGCAAAAGUAAAAAAGGCAAAAAAGGAAAGCAUGGUAUCUUCGGUUCGCAAGUGUACAUGAGUCGGGGUCUUUAAUGCAUCUCCAAAUGUUGGUGUUGUGGGUUUAACACGAAUAAGGUUUCGUUUAUUUAGUAGAAAAUUAUCGAUUUGAAAAAUAUCUUCUUAAAAAUUGUUUUUAAUUUUUAUGAUGUAAAUAUUUCUCGUUACUUUUUUUUAAGUGAUUCGAAAGAUUAUUUUUAGGAAAAUAUGUUAUGUAUAUGUGUAUAAAAAGUAUAAAAAGAAAAAGUCUCCAUGUAGGAUCUUUCUCUGGUCACUAUUUUCUAGGAGAAUUAACACCCAAAUUAGAUAUAUACGUCCAGGCCGAUUGAAUUUGAUGGAUCCCAUGUGAGAAGGAUGCCCGACUGACUCGGAAUGCACAUGAACCGUCGAUGCAUUCUAAGUCAAAGUUGGGUCUGGCCUUCUAGAAGUCCUAAAGCUUUUUGGAAAGUUGAAACCGAAAGCGAAAGAACAAGUGGAAAGAAGACGAGAGGGUGGGUUGGUCCGAAAGUGACUCGUGAGGUGUGGGACGACUCCCCCGUGCUGGUCCGAAAUUGACAAGAGCUUUAGCUUUACCAAUAGAAAAAUAUCAACCGAUCCUUUUUUUUUUUUUUUCUUUUUUAAGGCUCUUUUUAUUUUGUAACAAAAUAAAUAAUUCAAAAAACAUUAUUCUUAAAAUAAUAAUUGUUAUUACUCGAAAUAAUUACUUCAUUAAAAAUAUUUUAAUUAUCGAUAAUGAUUUAUGCCUUACUAUUUUUCGUGAAUGGUUAAAAUAUUUUUUAUUCGUAUUUUUUUUUGGCAAGGCAUUACGAGCAAUUAUUCGUAAGAAAAUAUUUUUUAAAUCAUUCAUUUUUCACUAAACAAAACGGAGCCUUCGAGUCUAGAUCCUCUUUUUCCCUCAAACUGCACGAGAUAUGGAUCAUGUUGCCGACCGUGUUUUCCGAAUCAUUCUUCGGCAUGCGAACAGCUCUCUGUUUGCCCGCGAUCAUCAACAUAAGAUUUGUCACAGGAUGUUCCAUGGUCCUCCGAGCAAGCCGACCGCUGUGCUCGAACUUUUGGGUUGUCUAGAACAAAGAAUCGAUUCUUCUGCGACUUCUCAUAUUGGCAAAUUCGUUUAAGGGGAGAGAUUCUGAGGAGAAUAGCUUUUUCGAGUGCGGGAACAUUUGCCUAACCCGGCGGCCGUGCGUCGACCAGAUCUAUUAAUUUGGACAAUAAAAAUUCAGUUUUCCGCAAAUAUAUAUAAAUAUAUAUCGUACUUUGUAAAAAUAGAAAUUAUUUAAAUUGUAUUACUGAAAAGAUAUCAAUUACGUGGUCCCGUCUUUGAUUGUAUCGUUCGCUUCCGUGGAUUGUCCCUUUCUCCAUGUCUUUAUUCGUUCGUCGUCUUCCUUAACAAAACGAACGUCGCAGUAGCGGACGUGUGGGGGCGCCUCCAAAUUUUGAACAGAAAAGUAAAAGGGAAAGGUGACUAGGUGAGUACAUUUUUUUAUUUUACUUUACCGGAACAUGACAUAACAAAUUUCGAAAUAACGCCACGAAUGUUUUUCCUCUUUCUUAUAGUCGUUUUAAAAAACCUAAAAAAUAAGCUCGUGUGCUUUUAUUAGGUACGUCCAACGCACAUAAAUUUUACAAUUUUUUAAAUCUGCAUAUUUCUUAUCUCAGCAUUAGAGUCGGUCAUCCCGAGGUGCACUGGUGCCCACCACAUCACCAUGUAAUUUUUUUUUUUUCAAUAAUUGUUGAUGUCACCAUCAACGCCAAACCCCAAAUGUUUUGUCUUGUAAGAUUGCCAUUGUUGGCUUGUUCUAUUAUCGCGAAGUCUGCAAAGCUUGAUAAGAGCGCCCAUCGAGUCUGUUUUGUACUAACAUCAGCAACGUCAGUGUUGUGUUUCUCCAUUAGUCUAUACAAAAGCUACGAGAGCAAACAACAACCAUGUAAGUAGCAACAUUGACGUCUCUCUUUAAUGCAUUAAUUGUUUUCAAAUUUUAUUAUACAAAUUCAAGUUGGCUUUUGUGCAUGAUGAGUUUAAAGGGAUGUUGGAGAUAUUAGAGAUAUUUGUCCAUAUCAUUUCGUGGUCAUGCAUCUAUUCGAGAGAUUCUCCAUAUCCCCAAUUGUGUAUAUUUUGAUAGAUCGUAUUUGAUUUGAUUAUCUAUAGUCAUCUAAUAAAACUAGUAAAUAGGCUCAUACAUCCAAUACACAUUCACAAUUUCCUAUUUCACAUAUUUCUUGUCAAUAUAGGUUUGGAUUUUUUAAUUGUAAUUAACCCAUUUUAAUAUUUUGAGUACUAUACUUAAAUGUUGUUAUGCCAAAAGCGAUCGUCCCUCAUUCUUCGGGAAAAUUAUUUAAAAAAUCCUAAAUUUAUUACAUUUUUGUCGAUUUAGUAAGUGUUGAUCAAGUUCUAAAUUUUUCAAGUUUUGUUAACUGAUUGUUAAUUAAUUUUAUCUGAUCAAUUUUGGUCGAAAAAAAUUAAUAUGAAUGCUAGCCGUUUUAUUUAAUAUGAUUGAUGUUGAUGUGGAUAAUCUUUUAAUAUUAUUUUUAAAAUUAUUUAUAUAAUUAUUUCUUCUUUUUCCCUUUUUUUGUGGUUAGCGAGGUUGUGACGCCAUUUGCUUGUUCGAUGAGGGCUUGGUAAUGGCUAGGGAGGGCUCGGCGAUCCUCCAACCACAAUAAGAAAAAGUGAAGAAGGAAAAGAUAAAGACGAAAUUAAAAUAUUUGAACAAAUAUUAAACUACUUAUUAAAAGUUGUUUGUCAUUAGCGUUGGUCAUGCUAUUUAGAACAAUUGGCCUUCACGCAAAACAAAAUUGGUUAGAUUAAUUUAAUUAGCAAAAUGUGAAAAUAUUUAAAAUUAAAUUGCCAUAAUUAAAAAGUUUAAUAAUAAAUCAACAAAUGUGGAAUGGGUUUGUUAAGUCGUCGACAAUUUCCCUAUCCUCCUUCUAAAUGCCCUUUCACUCCACCAAAUUUAAUAAUUUCCGAAAAUUUUCUCACGAUGCAAUUAACUUUUCUUUUGCAAUAAUAGUUUAUGGUAUCAUUUCACCAUAAAUCGAAACGAAAAGAAAAUAGUGGACCGACAUGCAAAAAAGAAAAAGAAAAAGAAAAGAAAAGAAAAGAAAAGCAUAAAAUGGUUACCGAGGUCUUGUCCCCCCCGACCUUGAGAAGUGGGUCGAUGAUUUUGGCUGCCGCUUUCGACCAACUUCAAAAAAGCAAAAACCGAUCCCCCGUCUCAUCCAGAAACCACCCCCCCACGUGUGUCCUUCUCUCUCUUUCUCUCUCUAGACACCAAAAUCGACGAAUAAAAAAAAUAAAAAAAUUAGACGACUUUACAAUUUUAUACGAUUUCCUGCCAAAGAAAAAAAAAUUCAAUGCGCGAACCCCGACCCAACAUGCAAUUUAUACUGCUCAAAUUAAAGUCAAACAAUUUCACAUCAUAAUUUUUUUUUUGUCAGUCCUAUUCUUAUUCUACACUCACUCACUCUCAGACUUUUGCCCUACCUCUUGCAGAGCGUGGGAGUCGAAACCCACUUCUGAAACUUACGUGUCCCCACCCCAUCCCCCCUGAGAAAGUGGGGAUCUGAACCCUUCACCUCCCCCUUCCAUGUUGGAAGGAUGGCCACUGGGACGAAUCCCAGUGGUUAAUUUCACAUCCUAAUUCACUCGUAAGAUUAAUAGGGUAUUUGGUUUUGCGAUUGACUUAUUCAAAAAUAAGAAUUUCCUCAGUCGUUAAAAGGAAACUUUCAUUUUAGUGCUCCCUAUUAUACGCGUCCAUGCGUACGCGUUGUACGGACGAGCAGAGGCGAAAAUAUCUGCAAUAUUUUCCGGCAAAUUUAUUUUUAUAAUUAUUUUAUUCGAGGAAUAAAAAGAAGAGAGAUAAAAAGGGCAAGCUCCACGCAGUAGCAAAACUACAAACAGGCACUCCAAAGUCGACUCUCUCUCUCUCUCUCUCUCUCUCUCUCUAGACUUCCGUUUUCCCGUUGCUGGUCGCAGUCCCCGUGUGGAAAAAGUAGGAACGCACCAUGGCAUUUCCGUGAACCACGGCCGCCGGAGCCAUCUCCCCGCCGCCCCUCUCCGCCGCGGCCCGCCGCCGAUCGCUCCGGCAAGCCUCCGCCUCCGCCUUCCUCGUAUGAUUCCUGAUUCUCUCUCUCUCUCUCUCUCUCUCUUGCACGCACUCGCACGUUUGGAUCGGGCCUUUCGUACGCGCUAUCUCCGGAGCUGUUGCUCUGGUCGCUCGCCCUGACGAGGCGCGUUGGUCUCUGGGAUUUGGUCUUCUCGUGUUUUCCUUCGUCGCUGAGUGGCGUUUUACGACGGGGGGGGGGGGGGGGGGUGCGAGUGCGUGCGGGGUCGCCUUCUUCGUUUCCACUGUCGUUUUGCUCUCGCUUGAGUCGCGAGAUGGCUGGCGAUGAUGUGCCGAAGGAGGAGAUUUUCACCUCCCGCGCGCGACGAUGAUAGGACAGUGCUGAUCGGGAUGGAUCUGCUGAUCACAGCACCGCCGGAGUUUUCUCAAAUUACUGUCUUUUUGGUUUUUUUUUUGUUUUUGUUUUUUUAUGCGAAAUUUCGGGGAAAAAGGCUGUAACGAGUGUUGAUGAAAGUCAAGGCUUGACCUUUUCCCACGCUUCCACCCCCCCGAGACAACAAGACUGGAACUUUGCUUCCAUGGUUAUCUGUUGAUCUUGUCUAAGACUGUGCUGUGGCAGCUUGCUAUAUAUUUUUUGGUCAAUUUGUUAUUGGUUUUCACUGGGUGACUGUCUGAGAAUUGUCUCCUCGCCUUUCAGUUCUAAGCAAGUUGGAUUUGCAGUUAGAUGGGUAGCAGAUGGCUUCUUGCCUUACUUUAAUGAACAAAAAAAAAAAAAAAAACUUUUCGGAAUAUUAAAUCACCCUCUGUCUGGCUCCUAUUAUUCACUUUCUUCUGAAAAAAGAGUUUCUUUUCUUUUUCCAUUCCAUUUUUAUUCGAUUUUUCUGGCAAGUUCUACCUAGCUGGCACACCUUCAGUUUGCAGGGCCAUUAGCACAUGGAGACUCUUUAAGGGCACUUGGCAUUGAAGUAACUUGGCUUGUGGCUUAGUUACAGGAUAUAUUAUAUUGUUAUAUAUUUUCUGGAGGGAGCUGGAAUUGUUUUGCGACUCCAGGCACAGUGGCGCUAUGUCCAUGGGUUUACAUUUCUUCGAACGAUUUAUUUAUUUAUAUUUUGUAGAUUUUUUUCUUCGGGGGAGCUGCAAUUGUUUUACAGCUUCAAGCACAGUGACACUAUUGAUGGUUGAUGUUGCAGAGUCGCCUAUCCUAUAUAUGGGCUUUUCUUUUUGCACGAUAGCAUCAGUGUGGUUGAAUUGCAAUACAUCUACAUUGCUCAAUUAUUAGAUUGUUCUUUCCUUAAAAUUAAGGGCUUAGUUCUCUUGCCCUUCCUUUUUUGUUCUGUUAGGGACUAGAGAGCGAAGGCUCCAUUUGCCUCUGUAAUUUAUUUUCCCGUCUGUUUUACCUAUAGGAAAUAUGCUCUCAUUCCUAGUCUUUUGAAUAUCUGUACAUGUUCUUAUAUGGUGUGAGUUGUUACUUCUAUAGUAGGCCAUCAAUAGUUCUUUAAAGAUAUAUUAUUAAUUCCUUCAAUUUUUGUGGCUUCAGGCACCAUGUUUCGUCGAUGGAGUAACUCUCACCACAGUGAGGAAGAUGACUCACUGCAGUUCGAGUCUAAGGUAAUUAAGAUUUCAAAAUUACAGCGCUUGUAAGGACUGGACAUUUCGAAGAGUGUAUCGCCUUGAUCGAUUGCUCAUAUUUAUCUGAUUUCCAUGGCUGACCAUGCAGUUGACCUAAGUCAAUAUUUUUUCUGGCCAUGAGAAACCAUGAAGUGGCCCUUUUUGCAGAUAAUACUUUGCCGUCAAUACACCCCCUUAUCUGUACCCCUUUCCUCAUCAAGGGCUCAUAUAUGUGUUUAAUGUCUCAUGAUGUAUAGAUUUUCUAGCGUUGUGGAAUAAUAAUCAAUGUUCCUUCCCAGAAUAUAGGAGAAAUACAGUGACAUUUUUAGUCCAUUUGCAUGCAGGUGAAUGAGCUUAAGACUGCUAUGGGACCACUCUCUGGGCGAAGUUUGAAGUAUUGUGAUGAUGCAUGCUUGAGGAGAUACUUGGAAGCUCGAAACUGGAACAUAGACAAUGCAAAGAAAAUGUUAGCUGACACGCUGAAAUGGAGAUCAGCUUUUAAGCCUGAGGAAAUCAGCUGGGUAAGAUGGCUAAGUGUCCCGGUGAAUGAAUACUGCGCAAGUAUUGUGAUAAAUAAAUUUAUGCCGAUGGCUGUUGCCUGUUAAACUUCAGUAGAAGUCUGAUCCUUGUUACCCUAACUAUUGUGUUGACCUGAUAAUUAAUUUUAUUUCGUAGACUAAGUUCCUGGUACGGAGAAGAACUGAUUUUGUGAAUGAAUGUGAAUGCAGGAUUGGUGUUAGUCAACAAUAGUCGAGUGGCACUCAUUUUUUUGUGUCUUCUAUGAAACUGCCAUGAUGCAGUGAUAUGCAGCAUUAGGUGUUGGAGAGUUUAUUGUUCAAGGGACAAUAGGUGUCCCAGUAUAUUUUUGCACUCAUGCUGUUACCAAAAUCAUCAUUUAGACUGUUUUAGUUGACAAUAUGGCUAAUGAGCAGGUUGUGUUAGACAUGCAAUAAUACUUAUUGGGACGCUGAAUAAUGCUUCCAUUUGACAAUGUGAUGUUUACUAAAACAGGAAGAAGUUGCUAAUGAAGGUGAAACUGGAAAAGUAUACAGAGCAAGUUUUCACGAUCGUUAUGGAAGGAGUGUUCUUAUAUUGAGACCUGGAAUGCAGGUAUUUAUCCAUCCUGUUGUUGCUAUUUUCUGUAGCUUUUAUUUGCUCUUACCUAUUAACUUGGCAAUGAAUCUUGCAGAAUACUCAAUCGCUUGACGACCAGAUGCGACAUCUAGUCUAUUUGAUAGAAAAUGCCAUCCUUAAUCUCCCGGAGGGUCAGGAACAGAUGGCUUGGUUGAUAGACUUCACAGGGUGGUCCUUGAGUAACAAUGUGCCCAUCAAAUCUGCAAGAGAAAGUAUUAAUAUUCUGCAGAACCAUUACCCUGAGAGGCUUGCUGUAGCAUUUCUAUACAAUCCUCCUCGCAUUUUUGAAGCAUUCUGGAAGGUUUAAAAUCCAAGACUACCAAUUCUUCUCUGCUUUUUAUUUCCAGAUGUUUAGUGUAGUGUCACAAAGGCAUCACAUUGAAGGUUUUGUCGAAUUUAAAUCAAACUCUAGAGAGUUUCUGUAUGCACCCUUUGAAAGGCGCUGCUAGAUUCUCUUGUGCCAAGUGUCAAACAACUGUGUUGAUAUGAAUUCAAGAUUCUAUCAAACACUCAUUAGUUGCUGCAAUUCCUGAUGGAGACACACUGGCAGACACUACUUUUUUGGUGCACCACUGAGAAGCCAUAUUCAACUUAUCUCUUAGUCCAGCGGCCAACAAAGAAUAGAACAGCAUAGAUUAGUCCCAUUUUAAAGUUUGCCUGCUCUCUCAUGCCAUGCCCGUCUCUUUUUCCAUUGCUCUUGGCUCUUGUUUCAUCUUUGGCUUGGUACAUCAUCCAUCUGUGCAUGAGAUGCUGUUACAGUUGUAGAAAUGCUUUACAUCCAUCAUUUUGAAGGCUAAUAUCCCGAGACCCCUUUUUCUCUCACUUCGUUGUGCUGUUACUAUGAGUGGAUGUAUUUCCUCCCCUUUCUAAAUCCAAGUUAUGAGAAUUCUCCUGAUCCAAGACUGACGCUUCACAUUUUUUGGCGCAGG
rnacentral:lncRNA from 1 species